CCUACGGGGGGCAGCAGUGGGGAAUAUUGCACAAUGGGGGAAACCCUGAUGCAGCGACGCAGCGUGAAGGAAGAAGUAUUUCGGUAUGUAAACUUCUAUCAGCAGGGAAGAAAAUGACGGUACCUGACUAAGAAGCCCCGGCUAACUACGUGCCAGCAGCCGCGGUAAUACGGAGGAUGCGAGCGUUAUCCGGAUUUAUUGGGUUUAAAGGGUGCGUAGGCUGUGAGGUAAGUCAGCGGUGAAAUGCCCCAGCUCAACGGGGUGAAGUGCCAUUGAUACUGCCUUGCUGGAAUGCGGAUGGCGUGGGAGGAAUGUGUGGUGUAGCGGUGAAAUGCAUAGAUAUCACACAGAACACCGAUUGCGAAGGCAUCUCACGAAUCCGCGAUUGACGCUGAUGCACGAAAGCGUGGGUAUCAAACAGGAUUAGAUACCCCUGUAGUC
rnacentral:rRNA from 1 species